AUGGUGUAGCGGUUAUCACUCAGGACUUUAAAUCCUGCAACCCGAGUUCAAAUCUCGGU
rnacentral:tRNA from 1 species